rnacentral:sRNA from 1 species
AAAAAAUAAUCCCAAGUGAAUGUCUUCAGAUAACCAAGGUGAAUUGUCGACAUGGAAGUUGUAUAGAGCAUAUGAUUAAACUGCUUCAGCAUGGACACGAAUGUAGCCCAGGAUGUGUUAUUGUGUAGUCUUUGUGACACCCAUGGCCCUCCUAUGUACUGUGACAUUUGUCACAUACAUCUGUGUAAGGCCUGUGUGGGGGAACAUCUCUCUGACGAAUCUAAAGAACACAAAGUUGUGUCCUUUAAGAAAAGAGGAUCUACUACAAGAUGUCCAAAACAUUCCUCAAAACAAUGCGAACUUUACUGUCAAAAUUGUGACAUUCCUAUUUGUGCCGCGUGUGCUUCCUCUGAAGAACACCAAGGUCACAAAUUUAUUGAAAUAUUAAAAAGCAUUGCCUACAAAAAAGAAGGAAUUCAAAGAGAUUUACAAGAACUAGAAAAAUUCAUUUUUCCAAAUUAUCAAAAAAUUGCAUCAAACAUCUCUGCUCAAAAAGCCGAUCUAAAUGAAAACUCUCAGGAAUUGUCAUCAGCUAUCGAUGAACAUGGAGAAGACUUGCACAGAGAAAUAGACACCAUUAUUCAGAAACUGAAACUAGAUCUUAAAGAAACGGACUCCAAAAGCCUGACUGUCCUUAAUAAAAAGGAAGAUGAAAUCACUCACAUCGUUUCUGAAAUCACGCAUUGUAUUUCAGAAUUGAACAAAUUAAUGAACUCCAAUGACGUCAGUCUACUCUCUGCUUACAAGUCCAGGAAUACUGAAUUUAGAAAAUUGCCCCCUAAACUCACAGUUUCCUUACCAAACUUUACUCCUUCUGAGAUAAACAAAGAACAACUUAUUCAACAGUUUGGUUCUCUCUCAGCUUCAUCUGUCAAAACGGACGAACAUGGCUAUACAUUGGAUUUUCCAGGUGAUGAAUCUACUUCCGUUGACAAAACACUUAUUGAUGCACCAAAGGUCAUCAUAGAUAUAAACACCGAAUAUAGCGACCGUACUCUGCGCAGUGUGUCUUGUAGGAGUGAUGAAGAAAUAUGGACAUGUGGUGAGGACAAAAUCAUGAGACUGUAUAGCCUCAAAGGGGACCUAUUAAAGUCAGUCAAAACCAAGUCUGGGGACAAUCCAUACGACAUAGCGGUGAAUAGGAAUGGGGAUCUAGUUUAUACAGAUUACAAGGAUAGCACUGUGAACAUAAUGAAGAAUAAACAAAUAGAGACAGUAAUCAGACUGAAAGGUUGGAGUCCUUGUAAUAUCUGUAUCACCUCCUCUGGCAACCUCCUGAUUGUCUUGAUCAGUGAUGAUGUAAAACAAACAAAAGUCGUGCGUUACUCUGGCUCAAUUAGAAAGCAAGUCAUUUAAUAUAACAGCAAAGGCAAACCGCUCUAUUCAUCUGAUCUGUACACGAAAUACAUCACCGAGAACGGGAACCUAGAUAUCUGCGUGUCGGACCAUGGAGCUCGGGCAGUGGUGGUUGUAAAUCAAGGCGGUAACUUCAGGUUUACCUACACUGGUCCUCCCUCCACUACCGAUGAACCAUUUAAUCCAGUAGGCAUCGCCACCGACAGACAGAGUCGGAUCCUGACAGCAGACCCUAACAACCAUCGUAUUCACAUUCUAGAUCAAGACGGAAAGCUCCUCCGCUACAUUGACAGCUGUCAUUUACGAGGUCCAUGGGGAUUAUGCGUAGAUAGGCAAGACAAUCUCAUCGUGGCUGAAUUACCGACAAGUAAAGUUAAGAAAAUCCUAUACUUAGAGAACCGAAAGGGCUUAUCUAAUGCCCGUCAAUAAACACAUACUUGUAUAUCUAUUACAUGUUGACGUAUUGGAUACGCAUUAAAUACAUGUGUGUGCAGACAAUUUACAUUUCAAUAUAGAUGUGAGUUAGAAUUUUAAACGUUCAAUGUAUUUUUUUGAAUUCUAAUACAGUUGUUUGAGCCAAUGCUUGUUAGUUUUUAGCUUUAAAGUCCUUAAGUCAACCAAAGUAAGCAAACGGAAUAUGUUAAAAAAAAAAGGACAUAUAAAAUUGUAAAAAUUUUCUUUUUUGCAAUUUUAUUGCCACCAAAUUAUAUGCUUACAUGUAUAUAUCACAUGUUCACAAUUUUCUGUUCUAUAAACGUAUAAAA